GUCAGUUCUCGGUGACGCACCCCGGAAUCGGGCUCCCUCUCUCUGUUUCCGGGUGUGUCAUCCGAGAACUGCA
rfam:Myotis brandtii contig179469, whole genome shotgun sequence.